UGUCCAGGGAUGGGAAUCGUACCCAUAGUGUUUUGCUUACCGGGCAGAUGCCAUGUCCACUAGGUUACCCUAUAC
rnacentral:tRNA from 1 species